GAUGAACGCUGACAGAAUGCUUAACACAUGCAAGUCGAUGGGGAAGUGGUGCUUGCACCAUGGUAACCAUGGCGGACGGGUGAGUAACGCGUAAGGAACUUGCCUGCGGGACUGGGAUAACAGCAGGAAACUGCUGAUAAUACCUGAUAAGGUCAUUAAGCUGCAUAGCUUAGUGAUGAAAGGAGACGCCUGCGGAGAGCCUUGCGUCCUAUUAGCUAGUUGGAGGGGUAACGGCCCACCAAGGCGAAGAUAGGUAGCCGGCCUGAGAGGGUGGACGGCCACAAGGGGAAUGAGAUACGGCCCUUACUCCUACGGGAGGCAGCAGUGGGGAAUAUUGGACAAUGGGGGCAACCCUGAUCCAGCAAUUCUGUGUGCACGAAGACGGUUUUCGGAUUGUAAAGUGCUUUCAGCAGGGAAGAAGGAAGUGACGGUACCUGCAGAAGAAGCGACGGCUAAAUACGUG
rnacentral:rRNA from 1 species